AUUGAACGCUGGCGGCAUGCCUUACACAUGCAAGUCGAACGGCAGCACGGGAGCAAUCCUGGUGGCGAGUGGCGAACGGGUGAGUAAUAUAUCGGAACGUGCCCAGUCGUGGGGAUAACGUAGCGAAAGCUACGCUAAUACCGCAUACGAUCUAUGGAUGAAAGCGGGGGAUCGCAAGACCUCGCGCGAUUGGAGCGGCCGGAUAUCAGAUUAGGUAGUUGGUGAGGUAAAGGCUCACCAAGCCGACGAUCUGUAGCUGGUCUGAGAGGACGACCAGCACACUGGGACUGAGACACGGCCCAGACUCCUACGGGAGGCAGCAGUGGGGAAUUUUGGU
rnacentral:rRNA from 1 species